AGAAGGCGCAUUUCCUAGCUUCAAAAUUUACGAAAGUGGUAUAACACGACAAACAAAGUCAAGAUAGCCAUGAUGAUCGCCAACAUCCGGAACGGAUAGGCACUUUAAAAAGAAGAAGAAUAAUAUUAGUAAAUAGUGUAAAUUAUCAUGCUAUGAAAAUUUUAAACAUGAAGAAUUGGUCAUCAAGGUAUUCCUUGAAGAAUAACUUAAUGUAAUAUUUUAAUACUUAAUUAUGAUCAUUAUCAAGUAUUAAUAAUACUCUGUGUUAAAACUUGAUCUUGUAAUAUGUGGGAUGCUAUAUAUUUUUCGUAUUACUCUACGGACUGGAGAAAUGCACAAAGCGAAAAAAGGCACUUAUCAUGCAAACAUGGGACAAUAAGCACAGAGUAUAAUGGCAAGAUACGCCAAUAGCCAUGAGAGAAACAUAUGAAAAAGAGAAAAAUCAAAAAAGCAGCACAGUUUUAGUUAGAAGUGCUUUUUUUAACGCAGAAGUAAAAAAACAAGCCAGAAAAGAUAAGAAACUACAUAAAAAAGAUGCUAAAUAUAUCAGAAAAAGCAGCGCAAUAAAACGACCUACGAACGCAAUAGACAAUCAUAUGAAACCUAACAGGAAAGGUGCAAAAAAAUAAUACAAAUAUAGAAGGAAUACUAUAAAAAGAAAUAUAUAGAAAGAUCAGACAACAGCUGGAAAAGAACUACAAUGAGAGAAUACGAACAAAUUGGAUUAAGAUGGGGUGAGGUUAAAACAGAGCAAGAAAUAGAAGAGAAUGGAACGAACUCGUACAUAGUUCAUCCUGCGAAUAAACAAGAAAGAUGAUGCAUGGCUUGGCCAGUCAGCAGUCUUAGAGUUUUCGCCAAGAAACGCAUAAGCGCCGAAUACUCCACAAGGUGGAAUUGAACUGGAGAGAGAGGAAGCUUAUAACGAGGGUAGGAUCUAAGUCAAGAGUAAACGUAGAGUAUCAAAAACUAUUAGCAAAACAGUUAGGUGAAGAAAAUUGACGACCCUUAUCUGUCUGUUGGCGGAUUCAUACUUCCUGCAGGUGUUAGAAACAUAUUGUCACAUGUGUCCGCCUUGUGAACUCGAUUUGAACCCAUGUGAACAUACAGUAGAAGACAGUUACAAAACAAAAAUAUCAAUCAGAUAUGUUAAUAUAUAGAUAGAGUAUUGGAAAUUUUCUUUCGUUAAUUGAAAAUCAGAGAUCUCAGUUCGGUGCAGUCGAACAAAUGAUUUAAAUAUGAAACAUCGCGACAUGUCUUGAUAUUUACACCGGUUAAUUGCAAAUCAAGAAUCUAACUUAUUGCAUUGAAAGGUCCUAUGUUCCGAAAAAAGAUUUCCAA
rnacentral:lncRNA from 1 species